rnacentral:rRNA from 1 species
AUCCUGGCUUAGGAUGAACGCUAGCUACAGGCUAACACAUGCAAGUCGAGGGGCAGCAUUAUCGAAGCUUGCUUGAUAGAUGGCGACCGGCGCACGGGUGAGUAACGCGUAUCCAACCUUCCCAUCACUCAGGGAUAGCCCGCCGAAAGGCGAAUUAAUACCUGAUGGUCUCCUUCGCGGACAUCUAACGAGGAGUAAAGAUUUAUUGGUGAUGGAUGGGGAUGCGUCUGAUUAGGUAGUAGGCGGGGUAACGGCCCACCUAGCCGACGAUCAGUAGGGGUUCUGAGAGGAAGGUCCCCCACAUUGGAACUGAGACACGGUCCAAACUCCUACGGGAGGCAGCAGUGAGGAAUAUUGGUCAAUGGACGGAAGUCUGAACCAGCCAAGUAGCGUGCAGGAUGACGGCCCUAUGGGUUGUAAACUGCUUUUGUGCGGGAAUAAAGUUUGGGACGUGUCCCAUUUUGCAUGUACCGCACGAAUAAGGACCGGCUAAUUCCGUGCCAGCAGCGGC